rnacentral:rRNA from 1 species
AUGGUCAGGGUUCAAACCUUGUACAGGUGGAUUACUUGUGGGGUUUUCGACAUUAAUAUUCGUGAGGUGCUGGGUUAUUCUGGAGAUCUAGGGCUAGACGAGCCUAAAUUUAGUUUAUUCGAGGGCCAAUGUGAGACACUAGAAAUUCAGGUAAUAUUGGAUGAUGAAAUAUUGAAGUUAGUCCAAGCUGUUAAAGUAAAGAAAGGCGGCGUGGAGUCAAAAUCAAAGGGGGUGGCUUGUGCUGUCUCGAAGGUUGUGGAUCGUGGUGUGGAGAGUGAUGAUGAUUCUUUUAUGCCUCCGGUGCCUAAAAAGUGUUUGCGGCCCAUAGCUGCUAGUCCUAUCAAAGUGGCAGUGAAAUCGCCUCUUGUUCUGAGCGAUGAUGAUGAUGAUGAUUUUGUUUUGCAUGGUGAGAGAACAGUGUUCACCAGGAGCAAAUCAGUGGAGGAGCCAUUGGUAGUGUCUAAUAAAAGGCUAGUUUCUCUGUCAACUAGGCUACGAAUGCCUGUGCAUGCACUCAAGCCAUUCAUGUUUCCAUUCGUGGCUGUUGCAAAACAAACUUUGGACCUAAUACUUAGCAAGGAGUUUCUUGACAAAUAUGCAGAGGUCCCUCUGUUUAAGUGCACUCCUCCAACUGGCGACGAUUUUAUAGUUGAUGCUAAAUGUCUGGUUACCUGUUUUGGUCCCGCUGGCUGCAUCGAUACUGAGUUGAUGGAUCUUCUGAUCAGCUAUUGGAAGGGAAGCCCUGAGUGCAACCAUGUGUAUAAAUCUGGAGAUAGGGUGUUGCUCAGCCCGUAUGUGAUAAAUUAUCUUCUGGAGAUUGAUCCAUACCAUCGACCAGUUGAUGAAGAUGGGCAGGAGGUCUCGGGGCCGCCUUUCAAUGUUAAACUUGCUGCUCAGAAGUUCAAGUUAUACAUUAAAGAGAACCCGCUCGCUGCAAACCUGAUCAAGCUCCCAUAUUGGAAUCUGAAUCAUUUCACACUGUAUACUAUGAACAAGUAUCGUGAGUCCCUGGAUAUCCAUGACUCAUGGAGAUACACUGGGCGUAACCUUUCAAGGAACAGAUUCCAUGGAGAACGUGUUGAAAUCAUAUGUGGUCUUUUUUCCACUUUUUUUCCUUUUUUACGUUCCACGUGCGUGCUGUUCUUUAAAGUAUUUGCAAGUCUCAAUUUUUUCUGUUUUGCACAGAUGUCCAUGAUGUCGUUGUUGAUGAAGGAGGUGUAUGGCGAAGCUGGAUACAACUCUUCAAGGCAGCCCCGUUGGGAACAUCUGGCAGAUAGAUGUAGCUAUGCAAAAAUGCCAGAGCAAGGGGUUAACGAAUGUGGCUUUUACAUGUUAAAAGCUGCUUAUCUGUAUGAUGGCACCAAGCUAGUAGAGGAAGUGAAGAAGCGCGAUCCACAUUCUGCCUACUGGAAGGCCGAGUGCCUUUUUUAUGUUCUUUUUCACCCUAGUAAUGAGGUUCGGCGCGACCAGUGGCCGCGGGAGAUGGCUGACAUUGCUAAGUUGUUACAAGCGUAG